rnacentral:misc_RNA from 1 species
UUAUUAGGUUAUAAUAAGACUACGUUUGUUACAUUAAUUGUUUGUUAAAAAUGGGCAGACGAUGACUUGGCCAAAGACCUCAUCAUACGUCUUACAGUUCACAGGUGUUAGGAUGUGAUUUAAGCAAGGGCCUUGCCGAAGCGAAGACACCAAGCAUGUUUAAUUCACUAAUGAUCCUUCCGCAGGUUCACCUACGGAAA